UGAGGACCUAUACUGNGACCUAGGACAUGGU
rnacentral:piRNA from 1 species